UGGGGAAUAUUGGACAAUGGGCGCAAGCCUGAUCCAGCAAUGCCGCGUGUGUGAAGAAGGCCUGCGGGUUGUAAAGCACUUUCAGUGGGGAGAACGAAGCUGUCAUUAAUACUGAUGGUGGAAGAUGUUACCCACAGAAGAAGCACCGGCUAACUCUGUGCCAGCAGCCGCGGUAAUACAGAGGGUGCGAGCGUUAAUCGGAAUUACUGGGCGUAAAGGGUGCGUAGGUGGUUGCGUAAGUUAGAUGUGAAAGUCCUGGGCUUAACCUGGGGAUUGCGUCUAAUACUGUGCGGCUAGAGUACUGUAGAGGAAAGUGGAAUUUCCGGUGUAGCGGUGAAAUGCGUAGAUAUCGGAAGGAACACCAGUGGCGAAGGCGACUUUCUGGACAGAUACUGACACUGAGGCACGAAAGCGUGGGGAGCAAACAGG
rnacentral:rRNA from 1 species